UGGGGAAUAUUGGACAAUGGGCGAAAGCCUGAUCCAGCCAUGCCGCGUGUGUGAAGAAGGUCUUCGGAUUGUAAAGCACUUUAAGUUGGGAGGAAGGGCAGUAAGCUAAUACCUUGCUGUUUUGACGUUACCGACAGAAUAAGCACCGGCUAACUCUGUGCCAGCAGCCGCGGUAAUACAGAGGGUGCAAGCGUUAAUCGGAAUUACUGGGCGUAAAGCGCGCGUAGGUGGUUUGUUAAGGUGGAUGUGAAAGCCCCGGGCUCAACCUGGGAACUGCAUCCAAAACUGGCAAGCUAGAGUACGGUAGAGGGUGGUGGAAUUUCCUGUGUAGCGGUGAAAUGCGUAGAUAUAGGAAGGAACACCAGUGGCGAAGGCGACCACCUGGACUGAUACUGACACUGAGGUGCGAAAGCGUGGGGAGCAAACA
rnacentral:rRNA from 1 species